CUCAACCUAUGGGCUUGACGGAAAAUUCAAAUCGCGAACCGUUACUGCCUGGACUACUCCGUCUCUUAUUUGUUUGUUUGCUCAUUAACAGUAAGAGGUCAUGUACACUGUGGUCAACUUUGUGGACGAUGAAGAGGUUUCUGGGUAAAGAUGAUAGAAAUAUAAUGAAGUAACAGUGAGAGCUAAAACAUCAGACUGAUCCAGACACUGAAGAAAUUGAUGUCACUGCAAUCUGGCCAAAAUGAUACAACUAUAUUGAAGUAGCCUACUGUAAUGAAGCUGCAGAACAACACAGAGACUCUUGAGGACAUCAACACAGAAAAUGAAGGCUCCAAAGAGAUGUCUGUCCAGAUGAGGGUGCAUCAAUGUUACGUUUGCUGACAAGUAUAUGCUUUACAAUGUAAAACCUAACAGUUAACUUAACUCAAACCAUUUAAGGAAAUCGGUUGCCUUAACCCAUUAAGUUUUAAAAAACAUACAUUUGAGUACUGUGAACUUAAGUCUUGUGCAAUUAUGCACUUAUAUUUAGUUAGUGUGAACUUAAAUAUAAGUGCAUAACUGCAUGUGACUCAAUUUGUUUAAGUUCACAGUACUCAAAUCCAUGUGUUUUAAAACUUAAAUGGUUUAAUGCAACCGGUUUUCUUAAAUGGUUUGAGUUUAGUUAACUUUUAGGUUUUACAGUGAGAAAUUCUUGAAUAGUUUCAAGACAGAGCUCUGCAAUUGAAUCAACAUUGCAAAAAAUCAGUUUCUAACUUAGGAUUUUUAUCUUGUUUUUAGUAGAAAAACUAAAAAUUCUUAAAUCAAGAUGUAUUUUCUUGAUGAGCAAAAUUACCUAAGAAAAUGUCUAGUUUUUAGACAAAAAUAUACAAUUUAAGUAAAUUUGUGCCUGAACAAGCAAAAAUAUAUAACAAUGGGGUGAGAAAAUUGUGCUUGAAUUAAGUUUUUAAGAAAAAAGAAAACUUAAGAUUUUUUCUCACACCAUUGGCAGAUAUUUUUGCUUGUUUUAAGCACAAAUUCACUUAAAUUGUGUGCAUUUAUUUAUUUUGUCUAAAACUAGACUUAUUUUAUUAAGUCAUUUUGUUCAUCAAGAAAAAGCAUUUUAUUUAAAUAAUAUUUCUACUGAAAACGAGACAAAAAUACUAUGUAAGAAAGUCAUUUUUUUGCAGUGUAGGACUGAUUUCUUAAAGCAAGAUCAAUAUAGUUGUUGUUCAUUUUAUUUAGAUAUUUACUACAUUACAGUGGCAGCUGGUGACUUCUUUUUUUUGUGAGCACUCGAAGCAAAGUCUGUCACAACAUGUAUAUAGCCAGUCAUUUGUGUGGUUCCCAAUUUCAAAAUAUGUGUUCUGCGUGUAUGUGCAUCACGUGUUUUGACUAAACACGUGUUGCACAUGGUUUACAUGAAUCAACAAACACAUUUUAAAAACACAAGCAACACACAUGACACUCCGAACACUUAUUUUGAAUUUGCACCCCUCGGAUGAGCAGUCACGAGCCGCCACUGCUACUUUACAUUGUACUGCUUUGAAUGUAGUUUUCAUUGUCGCUUUUAUUUUGUUUUAUUUUACUCUAAUAUUGCUUUCUCUGUCUGUAUAUUUAUGAGUUUAAAUAGUAUUGUUUAUGUAUGCAACUUUUAAUAUUUGUGUAUAAUAUUAUUUUGUGAUUGUGACAAUUGUGAAUUGUUCAGUUUUUUA